GACGAACGCUGGCGGCGUGCUUAACACAUGCAAGUCGAACGGAAAGGCCUGCUUUCCCUUGUGGAUUGCGGGUACUCGAGUGGCGAACGGGUGAGUAACACGUGAGUGAUCUGCCCCCAACUUGGGUAUAAGCCCGGGAAACUGGGUCUAAUUCCCGAUAGGACUGCAGGGUGGUGCCUGUGGUGGAAAACGAUUUUCUAGUGGUUGGGGAUGAGCUCGCGGCCUAUCAGCUUGUUGGUGGGGUAAUGGCCUACCAAGGCGGCGACGGGUAGCCGGCCUGAGAGGGUGGACGGCCACAUUGGGACUGAGAUACGGCCCAGACUCCUACGGGAGGCAGCAGUGGGGAAUAUUGCACAAUGGGCGGAAGCCUGAUGCAGCGACGCCGCGUGGGGGAUGACGGCCUUCGGGUGGUAAACUCCUUUCGACCGCGAGGAAGCCACCUGGUUGGAAGGGUGGUGACGGUAGUGGUAGAAGAAGCACCGGCUAACUACGUG
rnacentral:rRNA from 1 species